rnacentral:lncRNA from 10 species
CCCCUCAGGCGGCGGCGGCGACGCGCGCGGGUAAGAAGUGGGCGGGGAACGCGGUCGGUGGCGCUGCGGGGCUGAGGGAGAGGCGGAGGGGGGGGCGGAGGGGGGCGGAGGGAGGGGCGGAAAGAGCAGAGGGAGGGGCACAGGGGGCUGAGGAGUGCUGGGUCGGGCUUCCAGCUCCCUACAACGCAGACCAGUACUGGAGUUCGUGGUGCUGGAAGACCGCCGCCCGACUCUGGGCCCCGGGUAGGAAACGUAAGUGCCAGGAAGUUAGCAGAGUGGUUCUUUGGCUGGCGCCUGAACCUCGCCAGUCUUCGUCGCCCCUCCCCUGCCAACGCCUACCCCGCUUCGACCGGAGGGUGCGCUGUCCCUCUGGUCACUGUGAUCACCGUCCAUGGCCGCCUGCGGAUACCCACGCCGUGCUCAGAAGAGGGCUCUGAGGCCACGCCCGCCUGUGGGGUCGGUGGCCGGGCUUCCGGGACCCCAGAGGGAGUCGUCGCGCGCUAGGUGGAGGGGACCCCUCUGGAAUCCGGCGAUCCCCGGGCGCAGAUGCAGGAGCGGGUGGGGAGAGCCGCGUUCCUGGCAUGUUUGCCUCGAGUUAGUCACGAAGGAAUCGAAGAGAGCCUUAGUCUUCGAGGCUUUUCCCUUCCUGUGAGCCCCUUUGAGGCCAGCACAUUGAUUUUUUUUUCUUUCGCAGAACAAUUUCGGACCUCCUGGGGUCUAUGCUAGGUAUGAGGUGUAUCUUUGCCCUCCAUCAAGUAGCAAAGAUGGACAUGUAAACAAAUUUCGACACUGUGAUGACUGCCACAAAAAGCAGCAUUAUGAGGUUGAAUGUAAAAGGAUAACCUUAGCGGCGGCGGGGGCCGGAGGAUGAAGGAAGGCUUCCUGAGGUAGGCGCUGGUUGAAACUGAAGUUGGAGAGAGCAAGUGGCAUUUGCUGAAGUGCAUUUCCGGUAGAAAACUCCAGUGGUCCCUCACCUGACUGAGUGGCGCAGUCAGAGAUAAAUGGAACAGAGUCUACAAAUAAACAUUUUAUAAAGAUGAUCCUUCAAUACAUAUUCUACAGCCCAGUUAAAAUGUGAGAGGCCAUGAUCUACAGACAGCCAUUUAUAAAGGUGGAUCAGGGCCGGACACGGUGGCUCAACGUCUGUAAUCCCGGCACUGUGGGAGGCCAAAGCGGGAGGAUCGCUUGAGCCCAGGAGUUCGAGACCAACCUGGCCAACAUGGUGAGACCCCAUCUUUACAAAAAAAUAUAUAUAUCCAGGCAUAGUGGUGUGCACCUGUGGUCCUGUGGUCCCAGCUACUCAGGAAGCUGAGGCAGUUGAGGCUGCAGUGAGCCACGUUCUGGCCACUACACUCCAGCCUGGGCAUCAAAGUGACAAGACCAAAAAAAAAAAAAAAUGUGGAUUGGAAGGAGGCAAGAAAGAAGUCAGGAAAAGGGUGGAAUGUAAGUCCCUAAGGACACAAUCUUACUCACAAUUGUAUCUCCAACAUUUGGCAUAAUGCCUAAUACGUAAGUAUUUUAUGAAUUAAUUAAACGAGAACACAAGCCUAAAUUAAGGCAAUGGCAAUGGAGAAGAAGAAACCAACUUGAGAAAUAUUUAAAGGUCAUUGUCAAUGGAACUUAGUGACUUUAAUGGUUAAUUUUAUCUAUCAACUUGGCUAGGCGAUGCUACCCAUGUUACUCAGUUUUUGGUCAAACACUAGUCUAGUUGUUGCUAUGAAUUGUAUUUGUUAGAUGUGAUUAACAUUUAAAUCAGCAGACUUUGAUUAAAGUACAUUACCCUCUAUAAUGAGGGUGGGCCGCAUCCGGUCAGUUCAAAUUAAAACGAGACCCUUAAGAAGAAGCAAUUCAGCCUCCAGACUGCAGCGUCAAAUCUCCCUGGGUCUCCAGGCUGUUUGUCUGCCCUGCAGAUUUCAGACUUGCCAGCUCCCAGAAUAAUGUGAGCCAAUUCCUUAAAAUAAAUCUCUUUCUGCAUAUACACAUCCUAUUGAUUCUGUUUCUCUGGAGAACCCGUACUAAUAUAGUGUCUGACUAGAUAUGAAGGAGGAGGGGAAGGGAGAAAUAGAUAGACGAUGCCUUUGGAUAUUGAGUGACACUUAUCUAGUUGCUUAAGUCAAAAACCUGAAAACUGGUUAGGCACGCCUAUUACGGGCUCACGCCUGUAAUCCCAGCACUUAGGGAGGCUGAGGCAGGCAGAUCAUUUGAAGUAAUUCAAGACCAGCCUGGCCAACAUGAUGAAACCCCAAGACCACUAAAAAUACAAAAAUUAGCCGGGCGUGGUGGCACAUGCCUGUAACCCCAGCUCCUCAGGAGGCUAAAGCAGGAAAAUUGCUUGAACCCAGGAAACAGAGGUUGCAGUGAGCCGAGAUUGUGCUACUCCACUCCAGCCUGGGAGAGACUCCAUCUGAAAACAAACAACAAAAAAAAAUGCUGGGCACAGUGGCUCACGCCUGUAAUCCCAGCACUUUAGGAGGCUGAGGCGGGCGGAUCACCUGAGGUCAGGAGUUCAAGACCAGCCUGGCCAAUGUGGCAAACCCCAUCUCUACUAAAAAUAAAAAAAAAAUUAGCUGGGCAUGUUGGCGGGCACCGUAAUACCAGCUACUCGGGAAGAUGAGGCAGGAGAAUCACUUGAACCGGGAGGCAGAAGUUGCAGUGAGCUAAGAUCGCGCCAUUGCACUUUAGCCUGGGCGACGAGCGAAACUCCCUCUCAAAAAAAAAGAAGAAGGCUGGGCGCGGUGGCUCAUGCCUGUAAUCCCAGCACUUUGGGAGGCCGAGGUGGGUGGAUCACUUGAGGUCAGUAGUUCGAGACUAGCCUGGACAUGGUGAAACCUGUCUCUACUAAAAAUACAAAAAUUAGCCAGGUAUAGUGGCUCAUGCCUAUAAUUCCAGCUACUUGGGAGGUUGAGGCAGGACAAUGGUUUGAACCCAGGAGGCAGAGGUUGUAGUGAGCUGAGAUUGUGCCACUGCACUCCAGCCUGGAUGACACUCUAUCAAAAAAAAAAAAAAGAAAAGAAAAAAAAAAAAAAACUGGGGCAUGUGGGUUGAAGGUGCUAUGGAAAAAUUCAUGGGCUAUGUGUAUGCAGCAUUGUUUUCAAAGCAGAAAUUGAGAAUUUAUUUAUAGUGGUGUGCAUACUGCUUUUUCAAAUGAGGAAACAGGAAAACAAGGUUCUAGACCUAUGUAUUAGGGACUUCCUUUAGUCUGUAAAACUUGUGCCAGGCGUGGUGGCUCACACCUGUAAUCCCAGCACUUUGGGUGGCUGAGGCAGGUGGAUCACCUGAAGUCAGGAGUUCCAAGACCAGGCUGGCCAACCUGGUGAUACCCCCGUCUCUACUAAAAAUACAAAAAAAUAGCCGGAUGUGGUGGUGCACUCCUGUAAUCCCAGCUAUUUGGAAGGCUGAGGCAGGAGAAUCGCUUGAACCCAGGAGGCAGAGGUUGCAGUGAGCCAAGAUCAUGCCACUGCACCCAGCCUGGGCAACAGAGCGAGUCUCUGUCUCAAAACAAACACACAAAAAAACUUGUGAUUCACAGGUUAGUCUCUAGGGGAGCUCUAUAAUCACAAAGACAGUGACAGUAUUCCCAUUUUACAGAUGAGCAGACUAGGUAAUCAAUGUUUCUUAACAAAUUAACAUUAAAACUUCUGUCAGGAAGUUCCAGGCCAGGCACAGUGGCUCACAUCUAAAAUGCCGGCACUUAGGAAGGCUGAGGCAGGAGGAUCACUUGAGCUCAUUUCAAGACCAGCCUGGGCAACAUGGCAAGACUCCAUCUCUACAAAAAAUAAAAAAUUAGCUGGGCAUGGUGGCACACACCUGUA